rnacentral:lncRNA from 1 species
GUUGAGUUGAACCUGCUAUGGACUGGGAGGAUUCAUAUGGAAGUGACAGGAGCAGUGGGUGCAAACACCACUUCCCUUUCUCUUUAUAGCACUUGACUUAAUACUUUGAAAGAACAAGAAAGAGCAAGUGCCUUCGUAUUCUUGUGCUGAGGGCCAUGAGCAGCCCAAGCGUCUCAUCAGCAACCUUGUAGCUUUGCACAGAACCUUCUCCAAAACACAAAGCAACGUAUUUCUGUGAGACUUCAUUGCCCCUUAGCAUGGUGUUUGAUGUGAAGCAGUGGAAACAACUCCAUCGCCAUCUGAAGUGAGAAGACAACAGCAGAGCAUGAGUGGUGCACGAGUGCCAUGUCGUGUUGAACCAUCUGAAAAUCUAUCAGAAGGGACCUUGGAAACUCUUCCUAUCCUUUUCACCUUGCUGUUUGUCUCUUGCCUGCUCAGACCCACGUCUAUGGAUACAGAAGGCUUUGUGAACAUGGCAGGCAUCUGAAUGACAGGAUGUACAAACAGCUCAAGCAGCAUGGAGGCAGACAGCAGGUGCUUAUCCUCUGAAAGCAAAACAAAUGCAGCUGCUUCUUCCACCAGGGCUCCUGUGGUAAGUUCUUCACAAGGACUUAAAGCAAUCUGUAUUCUGGUU